UACGGAGGGUGCAAGCGUUAUCCGGAUUCACUGGGUUUAAAGGGUGCGUAGGUGGGUUGGUAAGUCAGUGGUGAAAUCUCCGAGCUUAACUUGGAAACUGCCAUUGAUACUAUCAGUCUUGAAUAUUGUGGAGGUCAGCGGAAUAUGUCAUGUAGCGGUGAAAUGCUUAGAUAUGACAUAGAACACCAAUUGCGAAGGCAGCUGGCUACACAUAUAUUGACACUGAGGCACGAAAAGCGUGGGGGAUCAAAACAGG
rnacentral:rRNA from 1 species